rnacentral:rRNA from 1 species
UGACUGUGCGCUGGAUUCACCCUUAGAGUGGAUCGUGGACAAAUUGAACGCUGGCGGCAGGCUUAACACAUGCAAGUCGAGCGGGGAAGGGUAGCUUGCUACCUGACCUAGCGGCGGACGGGUGAGUAAUGCUUAGGAAUCUGCCUAUUAGUGGGGGACAACAUUCCGAAAGGAAUGCUAAUACCGCAUACGCCCUACGGGGGAAAGCAGGGGAUCUUCGGACCUUGCGCUAAUAGAUGAGCCUAAGUCAGAUUAGCUAGUUGGUGGGGUAAAGGCCUACCAAGGCGACGAUCUGUAGCGGGUCUGAGAGGAUGAUCCGCCACACUGGGACUGAGACACGGCCCAGACUCCUACGGGAGGCAGCAGUGGGGAAUAUUGGACAAUGGGCGAAAGCCUGAUCCAGCCAUGCCGCGUGUGUGAAGAAGGCCUUUUGGUUGUAAAGCACUUUAAGCGAGGAGGAGGCUACUUGGAUUAAUACUCUAGGAUAGUGGACGUUACUCGCAGAAUAAGCACCGGCUAACUCUGUGCCAGCAGCCGCGGUAAUACAGAGGGUGCGAGCGUUAAUCGGAUUUACUGGGCGUAAAGCGUGCGUAGGCGGCUUUUUAAGUCGGAUGUGAAAUCCCUGAGCUUAACUUAGGAAUUGCAUUCGAUACUGGGAAGCUAGAGUAUGGGAGAGGAUGGUAGAAUUCCAGGUGUAGCGGUGAAAUGCGUAGAGAUCUGGAGGAAUACCGAUGGCGAAGGCAGCCAUCUGGCCUAAUACUGACGCUGAGGUACGAAAGCAUGGGGAGCAAACAGGAUUAGAUACCCUGGUAGUCCAUGCCGUAAACGAUGUCUACUAGCCGUUGGGGCCUUUGAGGCUUUAGUGGCGCAGCUAACGCGAUAAGU